UCCUACGGGGGGCAGCAGUGGGGAAUAUUGCACAAUGGGGGAAACCCUGAUGCAGCGACGCCGCGUGAGUGAAGAAGUAUCUCGGUACGUAAAGCUCUAUCAGCAGGGAAGAAAAAAAGUCUUUGGCUUUGGACGGUACCUGACUAAGAAGCCCCGGCUAACUACGUGCCAGCAGCCGCGGUAAUACGUAGGUGGCAAGCGUUAUCCGGAUUUACUGGGUGUAAAGGGCGUGUAGGCGGGAAAGCAAGUCAGAUGUGAAAACCAUGGGCUCAACCUGUGGCCUGCAUUUGAAACUGUUUUUCUUG
rnacentral:rRNA from 1 species